rnacentral:rRNA from 1 species
ACAGUAUACUGCCCGACGACUGGCAUUCAUCGUUUACGGUGUGGACUACCAGGGUAUCUAAUCCUGUUUGCUCCCCACACUUUCGUACCUCAGCGUCAGUAUCGAGCCAGUGAGCCGCCUUCGCCACUGGUGUUCCUCCAAAUAUCUACGAAUUUCACCUCUACACUUGGAAUUCCACUCACCUCUCUCGAACUCAAGACCAGGAGUUUAUGAGGCAGUUCCAGGGUUAAGCCCUGGGAUUUCACCCCAUACUUUCUGAUCCGCCUACGUACGCUUUACGCCCAGUAAUUCCGAACAACGCUAGCCCCCUCCGUAUUACCGCGGCUGCUGGCACGGAGUUAGCCGGGGCUUCUUUACUAGGUACUGUCAUUAUCAUCCCUAGCGAAAGAGCUUUACGAUCCUAAGACCUUCAUCACUCACGCGGCAUGGCUAGAUCAGGCUUUCGCCCAUUGUCUAAGAUUCCCCACUGCUGCCUCCCGUAGGAGUCUGGGCCGUGUCUCAGUCCCAGUGUUGCUGAUCAUCCUCUAAAACCAGCUAAAGAUCGUAGACUUGGUAGGCCAUUACCCCACCAACUAUCUAAUCUUAGGCGGGCUAAUCCUUCACCGAUAAAUCUUUCCCCGGAAGGGCGUAUAUGGUAUUACUCUCAGUUUCCGGAGGCUAUUCCAUAGGGAAGGGUAUAUUCCCAGGCGUUACUAACCCGUCGGCCGCUCCACCGGAAGGAGGCGCUGGACUGGCAGGUGUUAGGCCGGCCGCCAGCGUUCGUUCGGAGCCAGGAUCAAACUCU